GGUUAAGCGACUAAGCGUACACGGUGGAUGCCCUGGCAGUCAGAGGCGAUGAAGGGCGUGCUAAUCUGCGAUAAGCGCCGGUAAGGUGAUAUGAACCGUUAUAACCGGCGAUACCCGAAUGGGGAAACCCAGUGUGACUCGUCACACUAUCAUUAACUGAAUCCAUAGGUUAAUGAGGCGAACCGGGGGAACUGAAACAUCUAAGUACCCCGAGGAAAAGAAAUCAACCGAGAUUCCCCCAGUAGCGGCGAGCGAACGGGGAGGAGCCCAGAGCCUGAAUCAGCAUGUGUGUUAGUGGAAGCGUCUGGAAAGGCGCGCGAUACAGGGUGACAGCCCCGUACACAAAAGCGCAUGUGCUGUGAGCUCGAUGAGUAGGGCGGGACACGUGGUAUCCUGUCUGAAUAUGGGGGGACCAUCCUCCAAGGCUAAAUACUCCUGACUGACCGAUAGUGAACCAGUACCGUGAGGGAAAGGCGAAAAGAACCCCGGCGAGGGGAGUGAAAAAGAACCUGAAACCGUGUACGUACAAGCAGUGGGAGCCCCACCACUAAGCCAGUGGUGAACUCCACAUCCGCAUCCUUUGCUGAGGAUACGGUUAACGGAGCGAAAGCGACGUUCAACCGCAAAACAAGCAGAGGGGGCUUAGUGGUGGGGUGACUGCGUACCUUUUGUAUAAUGGGUCAGCGACUUAUAUUCUGUAGCAAGGUUAACCGUAUAGGGGAGCCGGAGGGAAACCGAGUCUUAAUUGGGCGUUAAGUUGCAGGGUAUAGACCCGAAACCCGGUGAUCUAGCCAUGGGCAGGUUGAAGGUUGGGUAACACUAACUGGAGGACCGAACCGACUAAUGUUGAAAAAUUAGCGGAUGACCUGUGGCUGGGGGUGAAAGGCCAAUCAAACCGGGAGAUAGCUGGUUCUCCCCGAAAGCUAUUUAGGUAGCGCCUCGUGAAUUCAUCUCCGGGGGUAGAGCACUGUUUCGGCUAGGGGGCCAUCCCGGCUUACCAACCCGAUGCAAACUGCGAAUACCGGAGAAUGUUAUCACGGGAGACACACGGCGGGUGCUAACGUCCGUCGUGAAGAGGGAAACAACCCAGACCGCCAGCUAAGGUCCCAAAGUCAUGGUUAAGUGGGAAACGAUGUGGGAAGGCCCAGACAGCCAGGAUGUUGGCUUAGAAGCAGCCAUCAUUUAAAGAAAGCGUAAUAGCUCACUGGUCGAGUCGGCCUGCGCGGAAGAUGUAACGGGGCUAAACCAUGCACCGAAGCUGCGGCAGCGAACGUAUCACCCAAGACAACUUUACGGAGUUGACGAUUGACGGAGCGAAGCGACGUCAAAGCGUUCAUUAAAGUCGAGUUGGCUUAGGGAUACGUUCGUUGGGUAGGGGAGCGUUCUGUAAGCCUGUGAAGGUGUGUCGUGAGGCAUGCUGGAGGUAUCAGAAGUGCGAAUGCUGACAUAAGUAACGAUAAAGCGGGUGAAAAGCCCGCUCGCCGGAAGACCAAGGGUUCCUGUCCAACGUUAAUCGGGGCAGGGUGAGUCGACCCCUAAGGCGAGGCCGAAAGGCGUAGUCGAUGGGAAACGGGUUAAUAUUCCCGUACUUGGUGUUACUGCGAAGGGGGGACGGAGAAGGCUAUGUUGGCCGGGCGACGGUUGUCCCGGUUUAAGCGUGUAGGUGUGUGUUCCAGGUAAAUCCGGUUCACUUUAACACUGAGGCGUGACGACGAGGCACUACGGUGCUGAAGCAACAAAUGCCCUGCUUCCAGGAAAAGCCUCUAAGCAUCAGGUAACACGAAAUCGUACCCCAAACCGACACAGGUGGUCAGGUAGAGAAUACCAAGGCGCUUGAGAGAACUCGGGUGAAGGAACUAGGCAAAAUGGUGCCGUAACUUCGGGAGAAGGCACGCUGACACGUAGGUGAAGUGAUUUACUCAUGGAGCUGAAGUCAGUCGAAGAUACCAGCUGGCUGCAACUGUUUAUUAAAAACACAGCACUGUGCAAACACGAAAGUGGACGUAUACGGUGUGACGCCUGCCCGGUGCCGGAAGGUUAAUUGAUGGGGUCAGCGCAAGCGAAGCUCCUGAUCGAAGCCCCGGUAAACGGCGGCCGUAACUAUAACGGUCCUAAGGUAGCGAAAUUCCUUGUCGGGUAAGUUCCGACCUGCACGAAUGGCGUAAUGAUGGCCAGGCUGUCUCCACCCGAGACUCAGUGAAAUUGAACUCGCUGUGAAGAUGCAGUGUACCCGCGGCAAGACGGAAAGACCCCGUGAACCUUUACUAUAGCUUGACACUGAACAUUGAGCCUUGAUGUGUAGGAUAGGUGGGAGGCUUUGAAGUGUGGACGCCAGUCUGCAUGGAGCCGACCUUGAAAUACCACCCUUUAAUGUUUGAUGUUCUAACGUGGACCCGUAAUCCGGGUUGCGGACAGUGUCUGGUGGGUAGUUUGACUGGGGCGGUCUCCUCCUAAAGAGUAACGGAGGAGCACGAAGGUUGGCUAAUCCUGGUCGGACAUCAGGAGGUUAGUGCAAUGGCAUAAGCCAGCUUGACUGCGAGCGUGACGGCGCGAGCAGGUGCGAAAGCAGGUCAUAGUGAUCCGGUGGUUCUGAAUGGAAGGGCCAUCGCUCAACGGAUAAAAGGUACUCCGGGGAUAACAGGCUGAUACCGCCCAAGAGUUCAUAUCGACGGCGGUGUUUGGCACCUCGAUGUCGGCUCAUCACAUCCUGGGGCUGAAGUAGGUCCCAAGGGUAUGGCUGUUCGCCAUUUAAAGUGGUACGCGAGCUGGGUUUAGAACGUCGUGAGACAGUUCGGUCCCUAUCUGCCGUGGGCGCUGGAGAACUGAGGGGGGCUGCUCCUAGUACGAGAGGACCGGAGUGGACGCAUCACUGGUGUUCGGGUUGUCAUGCCAAUGGCACUGCCCGGUAGCUAAAUGCGGAAGAGAUAAGUGCUGAAAGCAUCUAAGCACGAAACUUGCCCCGAGAUGAGUUCUCCCUGAGACUUAGAGUCUCCUGAAGGAACGUUGAAGACGACGACGUUGAUAGGCCGGGUGUGUAAGCGCAGCGAUGCGUUGAGCUAACCGGUACUAAUGAACCGUGAGGCUUAACCUU
rnacentral:rRNA from 1 species